rnacentral:rRNA from 1 species
GAAGGCGACUUUNUGGACGAAAACUGACGCUGAGGCGCGAAAGCCAGGGGAGCGAACGGGAUUAGAUACCCCGGUAGUCCUGNCCGUAAACGAUGGGUACUAGGUGUAGGAGNUAUCGACCCCUUCUGUGCCGGAGUUAACGCAAUAAGUACCCCGCCUGGGGAGUACGACCGCAAGGUUGAAACUCAAAGGAAUUGACGGGGGCCCGCACAAGCGGUGGAGUAUGUGGUUUAAUUCGACGCAACGCGAAGAACCUUACCAGGUCUUGACAUUGAUGGACAGAACCAGAGAUGGUUCCUCUUCUUCGGAAGCCAGAAAACAGGUGGUGCACGGUUGUCGUCAGCUCGUGUCGUGGGAUGUUGGGUUAAGNCNNNNNACGAGCGCAACCCCUAUCUUAUGUUGCCAGCACUUUGGGUGGGGACUCAUGAGAGACUGCCGCAGACAAUGCGGAGGAAGGCGGGGAUGACGUCAAAUCAUCAUGCCCCUUAUGACCUGGGCUACACACGUACUACAAUGGGAGUUAAUAGACGGAAGCGAGAUCGCGAGAUGGAGCAAACCCGAGAAACACUCUCUCAGUUCGGAUCGUAGGCUGCAACU